rnacentral:rRNA from 1 species
UACGUAGGGUGCGAGCGUUGUCCGGAAUUACUGGGUGUAAAGGGUCCGCAGGCGGGCAGGAAAGUCAGAGGUGAAAGACUUCGGCUCAACCGAAGAAUUGCCUUUGAUACUUCUUGUCUUGAAUCCGAGAGAGGAUAGUGGAAUUCAUGGUGUAGCGGUGAAAUGCGUAGAGAUCAUGAAGAACACCAGUAGCGAAGGCGGCUAUCUGGCUCGGUAUUGACGCUCAGGGACGAAAGCGUGGGUAGCAAACAGGAUUAGAAACCCGAGUAGU